rnacentral:lncRNA from 1 species
GUGGUUAUAAGGAGCAUGCUGAUAAUUCUAAUUAUUUCAAGCCUGACAGUGCACCAUCGUUUAAGAGGAGAAAAUUUUCAGAUUCUACUUGGGGUGAUGGUGGGAGACAUUAUCUGCCACCCAACACAUAUGAGUUUGUCUCGUCUACCUGCAAUAAUUAUCUUCCUUAUGCAAGAUCACCCAACACAUAUGAGUUUGUCUCGUCUACCUGCAAUAAUUAUCUUCCUUAUGCAAGAUCCAAUGGUGAUGCCUCUGCAUCUACUACUGGUAAACGUGACCGCUCAAAAUUAGAUGAGGAUGAACUGCCCUUUAUGUCAAGGGAUGAGAUAGAGAGAUGCUCCCCGUCUAGAAAAGAUG